GGCGGAUGUAGCCAAGUGGAUCAAGGCAGUGGAUUUGUGAUCCCCCCCAUGCGCGA
rnacentral:tRNA from 1 species